AGUUGAUCCUGCUGGAGGCUGCCGCUAUUGGGAUUCGAUUAAGCCAUGCAAGUCUAAAGGGCUUCGGCCCUUGGCAAACUGCUCAGUAACACGUGGACAACCUGCCCUCAUGUGGGGGAUAAUCUCGGGAAACUGAGGGUAAUACCCCAUAGGUCUGGGAUACUGGAAUGUACCUAGACCGAAAGCCCCGGCGCAUGAGGAUGGGUCUGCGGUCGAUUAGGUUGUGGGCGGUGUAAAGGACCACCUAGCCAAUAAUCGGUACGGGUCGUGAGAGCGAUUGCCCGGAGACGGACUCUGAGACACUAGUCCGAGCCUUACGGGGUGCAGCAGGCGCGAAACCUUUACAAUGCACGAAAGUGCGAUAAGGGAAUCCCAAGUGCACUUGUACCACAAGUGCUUUUUCGAAGUGUAAAAUACUUCGGGAAUAAAGGGUGGGUAAGACUAGUGCCAGCCGCCGCGGUAACACUAGCAUCCUAAGUGGCAGUCGAUUUUAUUGGGCUUAAAGCGUCCGUAGCCGGUUUGAUGGGUUCUUGGUGAAAUCCUGCGGCUUAACCGUAGGGCUCGCUGAGAAAACUAUCAGACUUGAGGACGGGAGAGGCUAGAGGAACUUUUGGGGUAGGGGUGAAAUCCUAUAAUCCUAAAAGGACCAACAGUGGCGAAGGCGUCUAGCAUGAACGUGCCUGACGGUGAGGGACGAAAGCCAGGGUCGCGAAACGGAUUAGAUACCCGUGUAGUCCUGGCUGUAAACGAUGCAGACUAGGUGGGGUUUGACUCUAGUAGUCAGGCCAUGCCGAAGAGAAAUCGUUAAGUCUGCCGCCUGGGUAGUACGUCCGCAAGGAUGAAACUUAAAGGAAUUGGCGGGGGAGCACUACAAGGGGUGGAAGCUGCGGUUUAAUUAGAUUCAACGCUGGGCAUCUCACCGGAGGCGACAGCAGGAUGAAGGCCAGAUUGAAGGUCUUGCCGAACGCGCUGAGAGGAGGUGCAUGGCCGCCGUCAGCUCGCGCCGUGAGGUGUUCGGUUAAGUCCGAAAACGAGCGAGACCCACAUUCCUAGUUGCUAUCUGCCCCUCCGGGGGUAGAGCACACUAGGGAGACUGCCCGCUAUAAGUGGGAGGAGGGAGUGGACAACGGUAGGUCCGCAUGCCCCAAAUCUUCCGGGCUACACGCGUCUUACAAUGGCUGACACAAUGAGUUGCAACCCCGAAAGGGGAAGCUAAUCCCGAAAGUCAGUCUCAGUUCGGAUUGGGGAUUGUAACUCAUCCCCAUGAAGUUGGAAUCCCUAGUAAUCGCAGUUCAUUAUGCUGCGGUGAAUACGUCCCUGCUCCUUGCACACACUGUCCGUCACUCCAACCAAGCAGGGCUUAGAUGAGGAUCGGUCAUAAGGUUGGUUCAAAUCUAGACUCUGUGAGGGGGGGGAAGUCGUAGCAAGGUA
rnacentral:rRNA from 1 species